rnacentral:snRNA from 1 species
GCUACUAGGUCUUAAGCUUCU